GCUUUUUGAUGCAAGCCGUGGUUAAACCUCGAAGAAGAAGCGUCUGGAGACAUGACGUCAAAAGACCGCGCCGCGUUCCCGCAUCUGUUGUGAUUCGCCUGAAGAAAGACACAGAAAUAUUCCCAGUGAAGUGACUAAGGAGCACUUGACGCUCUAUUAUAAAGAUGGCGUUUAUUAAAGAGGAGAGUGAAGACCUGCAGAUCGAAGAAGCAUUCAGUGUCAAACAAGAAGAGGAACAGACAGACCUGAUGGCACUGAAAGUAGAGAAUGAAGAACUGAAAGAAAUAGAAGAGAAAAGUAAAUGUGAGAGACAUGUUUUCGCGGCUGUAGAAAAAUCCACAUCGACUGAAACAAAUUUGUCUCCAAACUCUGAAUCUAAAAGUUGUCAUCAAUGUGGAAAGAGUUUCAAAUUUAAAGCAAACCUUAAGGAGCACUUAAAAAUUCACACUGGAGAGAGGCCUUUCACAUGCCAACAGUGUGGAAAGAGUUUCACUAAAAAAGGAAACCUUAAAGAGCACACGAAGAUUCACACUGGAGAGAAGCUUUUCACAUGCCAACAGUGUGGAAAGAGUUUUGUUAAAAAAGGAAAUCUUAAAGAUCACCUGUACAUUCACACUGUAGUAAAGCCAUUCACAUGUGACAAGUGUGGAAUGGGUUUCAAAUUUAAAGAAAGCCUUAAUAACCACUUGCGAAAAAUACAUUCAAGAGAGAAUUGUUUUAUGUGUAAUCAGUGUGGAGAGAGUUUCAAUAGUAAAGUAAACCUCUACAGUCAUAUAAAACUUCACACUAAAGAGAAGCGGUUUAUCUGCCCACUGUGUGGGGAUACUUUCUUACAAAAUGGAAAUCUGAAAUCACACUUGAGAGUUCACUCUCAAGAGAAGACUUUCCCAUCAGUGUGGAAAUCAUUUCAGACAGAAAACAACCCUUGAUUCACACAUGAAAAGACAGAUCUGAUGGUAAUAAAAGAUAAUAAAUAGCUGGAAGAAACGGAAGAGAAAGAUCAAUAUUAGAGACAUGAUUUCAUAGCUGCAAAAAAGUCCAUACAGAUGAAACGAACAAGACCAAAUCUAACAGAUACUUCACCUACCAUCAAUGUGGACAGUUUCAAUCAAAAACAACCUUAAAAUCCAUGAGAUUUCACACUGGAAAGAAGCCUUUCACAUAUUUUCAGUGUGAGAAGAGUUUCACAAAUAAAGACAAAGAAAAGAAACUUCAUUUUCAAACACAUUGUGGAAAGAAAUUGCAGUGCUCUGAGAGUGGAAAGAUGAGCAGUUAAAAAAAUAAAAAAUAAAGCAUCCAUGCAUUCACUGUGGAGGAAGAAAAAAUAUAUUUUGUCAUCACAUUUUUAAGGCCAAUUCACACCACGCCAACAGAGUACAGAUGGCACUUCUCAGACAAACCAAGACAAACUAGAUGUUCAGUCAGUGAAAAUGAGCUCCAGCAGACACUAAUAAUGUUAACACAGAUAAAACCCAAAAACAAUUGUAUGUUGCUGUCUGUUGGUGUAGUGUGAAGUGGCCUUUACAGAUACACCUGAAAAUAUAUGCAGAUGUGAGACGACAUGCAUGUUAAUCCAGUGGAAAAUGAUUUAAAUGGCUCCGCAAUUUAUAAUGGCACCAGAAAAAUGUAUUUAAGUAAAAUCACGGUUAUGUUCACACCAAAGCUGAAUGUGGCCCAAAUCUGAUUGUCCACCAUAACCAUUUGCUUUUUUUCUUUAAAAUUUGCAUAUACAUAUUUUAUCUUGUAUAUAUGAACUUGUGGUUGCACCUGAUCUUCUGCUUUGCUGUAGUAUUUAGCUAUUGUCAAAAUUGUAUUUGUCCCAAGACCUUUGAGAUUUUUUUAUUUUUUAGCUUUGCAACUUUUUACAGUUUUUAUAUAACUAAAAAAAGCAUUAUUAAACAAUUGAUUUCUGUCUGUCUGAGAAAAUGUUUCAGUGUAAAUGAAAGUGAAAAUGUUUCAGUGUAAAUGAAAGUAAGUAAAAAUAAGUAAAAUAAAUGUUGAACUGCAGUGUGAUCUUUAGUGAAAUACAAAUAUGUUCUCAGGUGGAGUUGCAAGACUCAUUUAAUGCCAUUGUCAUUAUAAAAUCAGUUUGUGUCAGUUGUAAAGUCAAUUUAUCUUCUAUACAACAUAUAUUGUUUACAGAGGUGCAUCUCAAUAAAGUCUUUGGUUCUUUUAA